AGCCCCGACCACUGGGCCCCCACCCCGCCAGGAGAAUGUUCGAUGCGGGUAGACCGAGUCGUGUGUUGGGCACUCCGACCUAUUUUACUCAUACCCUCCCCACCCGUGGGCCGGCUCAGUUUUAUCCGACCCGACCCUCCGUGUGAGUACGUCACACCUGGCACCACCCAGGCUACCAGCCGACCAGUAGCGCUUUCAGACCCCGUGUCCAGGCGUGGGGCAUCCGGUCCCCGAAUUUAAUCGACGCCCGCGCGUUUC
rnacentral:lncRNA from 1 species